UGGCUCAGAUGGUAAAGAAUCUGCCUGCAAAGCAGGAGGCUCAGGUUCAAUCCCUGG
rnacentral:tRNA from 1 species